rnacentral:rRNA from 1 species
GCUGCAUGGUUGUCGUCAGCUCGUGCCGUGAGGUGUCGGGUUAAGUCCCAUAACGAGCGCUACCCCUAUUGCUAGUUACCAGCGAGUAAUGUCGGGAACUCUAGAAAAACUGCCUGUGCAAACAGAGAGGAAGGUGGGGAUGACGUCAAAUCAUCACGGCCCUUAUGUCUUGGGCUACACACGUGCUAUAAUGGUUACUACUAUGUGAUGCCAUCUGGUGACAGAGAGCUAAUCAAUAAAGGUAAUCUCAGUUCGGAUCGGAGUCUGCAACUCGACUCUGUGAAGUUGGAUUCGCUAGUAAUCGUAUAUCAGCCAUGAUACGGUGAAUACGUUCCCGGGCCUUGUACACACCGCCCGUCAAGCCAUGGAAGUUUGGGGUACCUGAAGUCAGUAACCGCGAAGGAACUGCCUAGGGUAAAACAAAUGACUAGGGCUAAGUCGUAACAAGGUAACC